rnacentral:rRNA from 1 species
GACGAACGCUGGCGGCGUGCUUAACACAUGCAAGUCGAACGGAAAGGCCCUGCUUUUGUGGGGUGCUCGAGUGGCGAACGGGUGAGUAACACGUGAGUAACCUGCCCUUGACUUUGGGAUAACUUCAGGAAACUGGGGCUAAUACCGGAUAGGAGCUCCUGCUGCAUGGUGGUGGUUGGAAAGUUUCGGCGGUUGGGGAUGGACUCGCGGCUUAUCAGCUUGUUGGUGGGGUAGUGGCUGACCAAGGCUUGGACGGGUAGCCGGCCUGAGAGGGUGACCGGCCACAUUGGGACUGAGAUACGGCCCAGACUCCUACGGGAGGCAGCAGUGGGGAAUAUUGCACAAUGGGCGGAAGCCUGAUGCAGCAACGCCGCGUGCGGGAUGACGGCCUUCGGGUUGUAAACCGCUUUCGCCUGUGACGAAGCGUGAGUGACGGUAAUGGGUAAAGAAGCACCGGCUAACUACGUG